rnacentral:rRNA from 1 species
AGGGCGCAUGGCGGAUGCCUUGGCUCUCGGAGGCGAUGAAGGACGUGAUAAGCUGCGAUAAGCUCUGGGUAGGUGCAAAUAACCUUUGAUCCAGAGAUUUCCGAAUGGGACAACCCGGCAUUCUGAAGGAAUGUCAUCCAUCCUUGAUGGAAGCUAACGCAGGGAACUGAAACAUCUUAGUACCUGUAGGAAAAGAAAAUAAUAAUGAUUCCCCUAGUAGUGGCGAGCGAACGGGGAACAGCCCAAACCACCCAUGUUACGGCAUGUGUGGGGUUGUAGGACCACGAUAUCGCAAGACAUCUGAUGAAUAGAAUCCUCUGGAAAGUGGAACCAUAGACGGUGAUAGUCCUGUAUAUGAAGUCAGAUUAAGCGUAGUGGUAUCCUGAGUAGCGCGGGACACGAGAAAUCUUGCGUGAAUCUGCCGGGACCAUCCGGUAAGGCUAAAUACUCCCGAGAGACCGAUAGCGAACCAGUACUGUGAAGGAAAGGUGAAAAGCACUUCGAACAGAAGAGUGAAAUAGUCCCUGAAACCGUGCGCCUACAAGCGGUCGGAGCUGCGUAAGCAGUGACGGCGUGCCUUUUGCAUAAUGAACCUACGAGUUACUUUUUCCGGCAAGGUUAAGCAUCUUGAGAUGUGCAGCCGAAGCGAAAGCGAGUCUGAACAGGGCGUCGAGUCGGAAGGAGUAGACGCGAAACCAAGUGAUCUACCCUUGGUCAGGUUGAAGGUUAGGUAACACUAACUGGAGGACCGAACCGAUAAGCGUUGAAAAGCUUCCGGAUGAACUGAGGGUGGGGGUGAAAGGCUAAUCAAACUUGGAGAUAGCUCGUACUCCCCGAAAUGCAUUUAGGUGCAGCCUUGUGAGUUACUAAUGUGAGGUAGAGCGACUGAUAAGAUGCGAGGGCUUCACCGCCUAUCAAGUCUUGAUAAACUCCGAAUGCGCAUUAGUUCUAUCACAGGAGUGAGGGCAUGGGUGCUAAGGUCCAUGUCCUAAAGGAGAAGAAUCCAGACCAUCAGCUAAGGUCCCGAAAUAAACACUAAGUUGAACUAACGAAGUCAGAUUGCUAAGACAGCUAGGAUGUUGGCUUGGAAGCAGCCAUUCAUUUAAAGAGUGCGUAACAGCUCACUAGUCGAGGAGUUUGGCGUGGAUAAUAAUCGGGCAUCAAGUGUUUUACCGAAGCUAUGGGAUCAGUAAUGAUCGGUAGGGGAGCAUUCCACUCUGCGUCGAAGGUGAAGCGUGAGCUUUGCUGGAGCGUGUGGAAAAGCAAAUGUAGGUAUAAGUAACGAUAAAGGGGGUGAGAAACCCCCUCGCCGAAAGACUAAGGUUUCCUGAUCAACGCUAAUCGGAUCAGGGUUAGUCGGGUCCUAAGGCUCAGCCGAACGGUGAGGCCGAUGGCAGAACAGGUUAAUAUUCCUGUACUACCUUAAGGAGUGACGUGGAGACGGAGGCGUGACAGCGCCGCGGACUGACGGAAUAGUCCGUUGAAGGGUGUAGAUGUUGAUUAUCCCAGGCAAAUCCGGGAUAAGAGUCGAACCUGAUAGUAUGGAACGUUCUUCGGAACAAUCCAAUAGUGCGUGUAAUCAUACUCCCAAGAAAAUCCGCUAAACUUAAUCCUUAAGGUACCCGUACCGCAAACGGACACACGUAGUCGGGUUGAAUAUACUAAGGCGCUUGAGUGAUUCACGGUUAAGGAACUAGGCAAAUUGACCCUGUAACUUCGGGAUAAAGGGUCCCAACGAGAGUUGGGCGCAGAGAAUAGGUCCAGGCAACUGUUUAACAAAAACACAGGGCUGUGCGAAAUUGAAAGAUAAUGUAUACAGCCUGACACCUGCCCGGUGCUGGAAGGUUAAGAGGAGAUGUCAUCGCAAGAGAAGCAUUGAAUUGAAGCCCCAGUAAACGGCGGCCGUAACUAUAACGGUCCUAAGGUAGCGAAAUUCCUUGUCGGGUAAGUUCCGACCUGCACGAAUGGUGUAAUGAUCUGGACACUGUCUCAACCGUGAGCUCAGUGAAAUUGUAGUAUCGGUGAAGAUGCCGAUUACCCGCGAUGGGACGAAAAGACCCCGUGAACCUUUACUAUAGCUUAACAUUGAAUUUGGGUAAUUGAUGUGUAGGAUAGGCCGGAGACUUUGAAGCGCAGACGCCAGUUUGUGUGGAGUCGCUGUUGAAAUACGGCCCUUUGAUUAUUUGAGUUCUAACUCGUAGUUACGAGGACACUGUUUGGUGGGUAGUUUGACUGGGG